rnacentral:lncRNA from 1 species
UAUGGCUUGGCUGGAUUUAUUUCCUGGCUGGAACGUUUCCACCACCUUCCUUUGGCCGCACCUGAGACUCCAGCCUGUGGUUUCCUGGUUUUUCUUUCCCUUAAGGCUACCAGCUCCACUUGGAGGAAGGAGGGAGCACAGGAGAGGGAGCUGCUCCAGUGCUUUCUGCAUUUGGACAUGAAAGCUGCUCUCUGCUCUGCGCACAGACCUUCUCCAAGAGAGGAGUGGAUGGAGCAGAUUGCCUUCAGCACUGAGCUUACGUGGAUCCCAAAAGCAGCUGUCACAAAGUUUAUUCCCAGGAAAGGAAAUACAGGUCUAACGCAAGCGAGCACACCUGAGCCAGCUGAGCCCGGCUGGCAUGGAGACAGGGCUGCGGAGACGUGGUGGAAGGGCUCCAGCAGGACAAGGCGCCAGUGUAAGCAUCCCCUAGGAGGAUCGAUGCCACCUCGUCUGAAUUUUAUGCCAGCAAAGCAAAAAGCAAGACGUAGCUUCUGUGAAUUUAAGCCAGGAAUUCCCUGGCUCGUUUUGUGGUGGCACCCUGCGAUGCGCUGACUUCCUCUCUCCAGGUCGUGGGCAGAAUGUGCCUGGUCUCUCCGCACAGCGCUUCUCAAAUCCACUAAAAUCAACACAAUAAUUGAAAUAUUUUCAAGCUGAUUACACCGCUGCCUGAGGCUAGGCUGGUUGCUAAGGGUAAGCUCCCUGGUUGCUAGGGGGAGUAAAUCAUCUUGCAUUAUUUGAUUUUUGUUAUAGAUAUGAAACCGCUACUCCCUCGAUUAAAUGUCUCUCAGUCUAACACCUAUGGGACCUGGGGAAAGAGAAAAGAAAAGCAGCAACCUUGACCCUGUCAAAUAAAUAUCUCUAACUUUUCCUGUCCUCCGGCUUC